UACGUAGGGGGCAAGCGUUAUCCGGGUUUACUGGGUGUAAAGGGAGCGUAGACGGCAGCGCAAGCCUGGAGUGAAAGGAUGGGGCCCAACCCCAUGACUGCUCUGGGAACUGUGCGGCUAGAGUGCCGGAGGGGUAAGCGGAAUUCCUAGUGUAGCGGUGAAAUGCGUAGAUAUUAGGAGGAACACCAGUGGCGAAGGCGAUUCUCUGGACUGUAACUGACGCUGAGGCUCGAAAGCGUGGGGAGCAAACAGG
rnacentral:rRNA from 1 species